rnacentral:rRNA from 1 species
GGGUGAGUAAUAUAUCGGAACGUACCGAGUAAUGGGGGAUAACUAAUCGAAAGAUUAGCUAAUACCGCAUAUUCUCUGAGGAGGAAAGCAGGGGACCUUCGGGCCUUGCGUUAUUCGAGCGGCCGAUAUCUGAUUAGCUGGUUGGUGGGGUAAAGGCCUACCAAGGCGACRAUCAGUAGCGGGUCUGAGAGGAUGAUCCGCCACACUGGGACUGAGACACGGCCCAGACUCCUACGGGAGGCAGCAGUGGGGAAUUUUGGACAAUGGGCGCAAGCCUGAUCCAGCCAUGCCGCGUGUCUGAAGAAGGCCUUCGGGUUGUAAAGGACUUUUGUCAGGGAAGAAAAGGCUGUUGCUAAUAUCGACAGUUGAUGACGGUACCUGAAGAAUAAGCACCGGCUAACUACGUGCCAGCAGCCGCGGUAAUACGUAGGGUGCGAGCGUUAAUCGGAAUUACUGGGCGUAAAGCGAGCGCAGACGGUUACUUAAGCAGGAUGUGAAAUCCCCGGGCUUAACCUGGGAACUGCGUUCUGAACUGGGUGACUAGAGUGUGUCAGAGGGAGGUAGAAUUCCACGUGUAGCAGUGAAAU